GAUUCAGCGGCGGACGGGUGAGUAAUGCCUAGGAAUCUGCCUGAUAGUGGGGGACAACGUUUCGAAAGGAACGCUAAUACCGCAUACGUCCUACGGGAGAAAGCAGGGGACCUUCGGGCCUUGCGCUAUCAGAUGAGCCUAGGUCGGAUUAGCUAGUUGGUGAGGUAACGGCUCACCAAGGCGACGAUCCGUAACUGGUCUGAGAGGAUGAUCAGUCACACUGGAACUGAGACACGGUCCAGACUCCUACGGGAGGCAGCAGUGGGGAAUAUUGGACAAUGGGCGAAAGCCUGAUCCAGCCAUGCCGCGUGUGUGAAGAAGGUCUUCGGAUUGUAAAGCACUUUAAGUUGGGAGGAAGGGCAUUAACCUAAUACGUUAGUGUUUUGACGUUACCGACAGAAUAAGCACCGGCUAACUUCGUGCCAGCAGCCGCGGUAAUACGAAGGGUGCAAGCGUUAAUCGGAAUUACUGGGCGUAAAGCGCGCGUAGGUGGUUUGUUAAGUUGAAUGUGAAAGCCCCGGGCUCAACCUGGGAACUGCAUCCAAAACUGGCAAGCUAGAGUAUGGCAGAGGGUGGUGGAAUUUCCUGUGUAGCGGUGAAAUGCGUAGAUAUAGGAAGGAACACCAGUGGCGAAGGCGACCACCUGGGCUAAUACUGACACUGAGGUGCGAAAGCGUGGGGAGCAAACAGGAUUAGAUACCCUGGUAGUCCACGCCGUAAACGAUGUCGACUAGCCGUUGGGAUCCUUGAG
rnacentral:rRNA from 1 species